rfam:Mesocricetus auratus contig041700, whole genome shotgun sequence.
CAGCAGACCCUCGCUGAUACCAGCCAGGUCCCUUCCUUGUAGGAGCCCAGAGUGCCACAGCUGCAGGCAGCUGCAUGCUCAGCUGUGUCUCCAGCCUAUUACUUGUGCAGCUUGUCCCAAGCGACCUUGGAGACGACC